rnacentral:rRNA from 1 species
AACGAACGCUGGCGGCGUGGAUAAGACAUGCAGGUCGUACGCUUGUACCAGGGUAGCAAUAUUCUGGUGCAGGAGUGGCGCAAGGGUGCGUAACACGUGGGUCAUUUGCCGUGAAGCUGGGAACAACUCGUUGAAAGACGAGCUAAUACCCAAUGUGCUCCGCAAGGAGUAAAGCCGGGGACCGCAAGGCCUGGCACUUUACGAUAAGCCCGCGGCCUAUCAGCUAGUUGGCGGGGUAACGGCCCACCAAGGCGAAGACGGGUAGCUGGUCUGAGAGGACGACCAGCCACACUGGAACCGAGACACGGUCCAGACACCUACGGGUGGCAGCAGUCGAGAAUUUUUCACAAUGGGCGCAAGCCUGAUGGAGCGACGCCGCGUGGGGGGAUGAAGGGCUUCGGGCUCGGUAAACCCCUGUCAUUCGCGAACAAAGGUGCCGACCUAACAUGUCGUCGCCUGAUAGUAGCGGAAGAGGAAAGGGACGGGCUAAACUCUGUGCCAGCAGCCGCGGUAAU